rnacentral:rRNA from 1 species
CGUGCCAGCAGCCGCGGUAACACCGGCGGCCCGAGUGGUGAUCGUGAUUAUUGGGUCUAAAGGGUCCGUAGCCGGUUUGGUCAGUCCUCCGGGAAAUCUGAUAGCUCAACUAUUAGGCUUUCGGGGGAUACUGCCAGACUUGGAACCGGGAGAGGUAAGAGGUACUACAGGGGUAGGAGUGAAAUCUUGUAAUCCCUGUGGGACCACCUGUGGCGAAGGCGUCUUACCAGAACGGGUUCGACGGUGAGGGACGAAAGCUGGGGGCACGAACCGGAUUAGAUACCCGGGUAGUCCCAGCCGUAAACGAUGCUCGCUAGGUGUCAGGCAUGGCGCGACCGUGUCUGGUGCCGCAGGGAAGCCGUGAAGCGAGCCACCUGGGAAGUACGGCCGCAAGGCUGAAACUUAAAGGAAUUGGCGGGGGAGCACAACAACGGGUGGAGCCUGCGGUUUAAUUGGACUCAACGCCGGACAACUCACCGGGGACGACAGCAAAAUGUAGGCCAGGCUGAAGACCUUGCCUGAAUCGCUGAGAGGAGGUGCAUGGCCGUCGCCAGUUCGUACUGUGAAGCAUCCUGUUAAGUCAGGCAACGAGCGAGACCCGUGCCCACUGUUACCAGCAUGUCCUCCGGGAUGAUGGGUACUCUGUGGGGACCGCCGGUGUUAAAUCGGAGGAAGGUGCGGGCUACGGUAGGUCAGUAUGCCCGAAUUUCCCGGGCUACACGCGGGCUACAAUGAAUGGGACAAUGGGCCCCUCCCCCGAAAGGGGCUGGUAAUCUCACAAACCCAUCCUUAGUUCGGAUCGAGGGCUGUAACUCGCCCUCGUGAAGCUGGAAUCCGUAGUAAUCGCGUUUCAAUAUAGCGCGGUGAAUACGUCCCUGCUCCUUGUACACACCGCCCGUCA